rnacentral:rRNA from 1 species
UAACGCGUGAGUAACCUGCCCAUAAGAGGGGGAUAAUCCAUGGAAACGUGGACUAAUACCGCAUAUUGUAGUUAAGUUGCAUGACUUGAUUAUGAAAGAUUUAUCGCUUAUGGAUGGACUCGCGUCAGAUUAGAUAGUUGGUGAGGUAACGGCUCACCAAGUCAACGAUCUGUAGCCGAACUGAGAGGUUGAUCGGCCGCAUUGGGACUGAGACACGGCCCAGACUCCUACGGGAGGCAGCAGUGGGGAAUAUUGCGCAAUGGGGGCAACCCUGACGCAGCAACGCCGCGUGCAGGAAGAAGGUCUUCGGAUUGUAAACUGUUGUCGCAAGGGAAGAAGACAGUGACGGUACCUUGUGAGAAAGUCACGGCUAACUACGUGCCAGCAGCCGCGGUAAUACGUAGGUGACAAGCGUUGUCCGGAUUUACUGGGUGUAAAGGGCGCGUAGGCGGACUGUCAAGUCAGUCGUGAAAUACCGGGGCUUAACCCCGGGGCUGCGAUUGAAACUGACAGCCUUGAGUAUCGGAGAGGAAAGCGGAAUUCCUAGUGUAGCGGUGAAAUGCGUAGAUAUUAGGAGGAACACCAGUGGCGAAGGCGGCUUUCUGGACGACAACUGACGCUGAGGCGCGAAAGUGUGGGGAGCAAACAGGAUUAGAUACCCUGGUAGUCCACACCGUAAACGAUGGAUACUAGGUG